rnacentral:rRNA from 1 species
AAUGGGUCAGCGACUUAUAUUCUGUAGCAAGGUUAACCGAAUAGGGGAGCCGAAGGGAAACCGAGUCUUAACUGGGCGUUAAGUUGCAGGGUAUAGACCCGAAACCCGGUGAUCUAGCCAUGGGCAGGUUGAAGGUUGGGUAACACUAACUGGAGGACCGAACCGACUAAUGUUGAAAAAUUAGCGGAUGACUUGUGGCUGGGGGUGAAAGGCCAAUCAAACCGGGAGAUAGCUGGUUCUCCCCGAAAGCUAUUUAGGUAGCGCCUCGUGAAUUCAUCUCCGGGGGUAGAGCACUGUUUCGGCAAGGGGGUCAUCCCGACUUACCAACCCGAUGCAAACUGCGAAUACCGGAGAAUGUUAUCACGGGAGACACACGGCGGGUGCUAACGUCCGUCGUGAAGAGGGAAACAACCCAGACCGCCAGCUAAGGUCCCAAAGUCAUGGUUAAGUGGGAAACGAUGUGGGAAGGCCCAGACAGCCAGGAUGUUGGCUUAGAAGCAGCCAUCAUUUAAAGAAAGCGUAAUAGCUCACUGGUCGAGUCGGCCUGCGCGGAAGAUGUAACGGGGCUAAACCAUGCACCGAAGCUGCGGCAGCGACACUAUGUGUUGUUGGGUAGGGGAGCGUUCUGUAAGCCUGUGAAGGUGUGCUGUGAGGCAUGCUGGAGGUAUCAGAAGUGCGAAUGCUGACAUAAGUAACGAUAAAGCGGGUGAAAAGCCCGCUCGCCGGAAGACCAAGGGUUCCUGUCCAACGUUAAUCGGGGCAGGGUGAGUCGACCCCUAAGGCGAGGCCGAAAGGCGUAGUCGAUGGGAAACAGGUUAAUAUUCCUGUACUUGGUGUUACUGCGAAGGGGGGACGGAGAAGGCUAUGUUGGCCGGGCGACGGUUGUCCCGGUUUAAGCGUGUAGGCUGGUUUUCCAGGCAAAUCCGGAAAAUCAAGGCUGAGGCGUGAUGACGAGGCACUACGGUGCUGAAGCAACAAAUGCCCUGCUUCCAGGAAAAGCCUCUAAGCAUCAGGUAACAUCAAAUCGUACCCCAAACCGACACAGGUGGUCAGGUAGAGAAUACCAAGGCGCUUGAGAGAACUCGGGUGAAGGAACUAGGCAAAAUGGUGCCGUAACUUCGGGAGAAGGCACGCUGAUAUGUAGGUGAAGUCCCUCGCGGAUGGAGCUGAAAUCAGUCGAAGAUACCAGCUGGCUGCAACUGUUUAUUAAAAACACAGCACUGUGCAAACACGAAAGUGGACGUAUACGGUGUGACGCCUGCCCGGUGCCGGAAGGUUAAUUGAUGGGGUUAGCGCAAGCGAAGCUCUUGAUCGAAGCCCCGGUAAACGGCGGCCGUAACUAUAACGGUCCUAAGGUAGCGAAAUUCCUUGUCGGGUAAGUUCCGACCUGCACGAAUGGCGUAAUGAUGGC